ACUCCUACGGGAGGCAGCAGUGGGGAAUUUGGACAAUGGGCGAAAGCCUGAUCCAGCAAUGCCGCGUGCAGGAUGAAGGCCCUCGGGUUGUAAACUGCUUUUGUACGGAACGAAAGCCUGGGGCUAAUAUCCCCGGGUCAUGACGGUACCGUAAGAAUAAGCACCGGCUAACUACGUGCCAGCAGCCGCGGUAAUACGUAGGGUGCAAGCGUUAAUCGGAAUUACUGGGCGUAAAGCGUGCGCAGGCGGUUUUGUAAGACAGUGGUGAAAUCCCCGGGCUCAACCUGGGAACUGCCAUUGUGACUGCAAGGCUAGAGUGCGGCAGAGGGGGAUGGAAUUCCGCGUGUAGCAGUGAAAUGCGUAGAUAUGCGGAGGAACACCGAUGGCGAAGGCAAUCCCCUGGGCCUGCACUGACGCUCAUGCACGAAAGCGUGGGAGCAAACAGGAUUAGAUACCCCUGGUAGCGACUGA
rnacentral:rRNA from 1 species